rnacentral:rRNA from 1 species
AGGACGAACGCUGGCGGCGUGCUUAACACAUGCAAGUCGAGCGGAAAGGCCACUUCGGUGGUACUCGAGCGGCGAACGGGUGAGUAACACGUGAGUAAUCUGCCCCUCCACUUUGGGAUAGCCACCGGAAACGGUGAUUAAUACCGGAUAUGACCUCGCAUCGCAUGAUGUGUGGUGGAAAGUUUUUCGGUGGGGGAUGUGCUCGCGGCCUAUCCAGCUUGAGUGGUGGGGUAAUGGCCUACCAUGGCUUCGGACGGGUAGCCCGGUCUGGAGAGGGCGACCGGCCACGCCGUAGGGACCUGGA